ACCAAUUCCAUAUUCAAUUUAACAUUAUUACUAUUUCUCACUUUAUACCAUUGUACCAUGGUUACCAAACUAUCCAUCAAACGUCCAUGUUCAAGGCAUUAUCAUUUUAUUUCUACAUUACACAUUUAAUUCAUGGUCAUGACCACCUCGAUUGGUUAUAAAAUAUGCAUUCAACAACACAUGACAUAUUACCAACCAUGCAUAACAAACAGACAUAUUCACAUCACAAUUAUUAGAUACAACAUGAAUAGCUAGAUUUACAAGUCAUAAUCAAUAGCUCAAUAUAGGUCAAUACAUUUGGCCAAAUUAUAAUAACACAUGUUAUAAAACUAGGUCUCUAUACAUGCCACUCACUUGAUAUUUCUAACUUAUGUAUAAAUACUCCAAAGGUAUUGGCUUGAUAGUGUGAUGCUGCCUCCAACGAUCUCCAACCCCGAGCCGACCUGAGAACACUAAGGAAUAGAAAGGAGGGAGUAAGUUUUACGCUUUAUAAGCUCGCAUGAAAAAUAAUAAGCAAUUUAUUAAUAUGCUAUUUUCAAAUUCUUUCUAUUUAUUCAAAGUCCAGUCAAGCUGUUUUCUCGAGUUACAGUGAUUAAAUUAUUUAUAUCCGGAGCUACAGAACUCCAAAUUAAUAUCCGUUAAUUUUCCCUGAAACUAGACUCACAUAUAUUCUUACCAUAAAAUUUUCAGAAUUUUUGGUCAAGCCAAUAAUUACAUUUUAUUAUUCAAAGUCUCCCCUGUUUCGCUAUUUGACAGUUCCGACCCAUCUACACUAAAAAUUAAUUAUCUCUUCAUAAAAUAUUUGGAUAAUGUUCUUGUUUAUUUCUUUUGAAAAUAGACUCAGUAAGUAUUUUAAGCAUAUAAAUUAUAACCCAUAAUUAUUUUUUUUACAAUUUUUAAUGAUUUUCCCAAAUCAGAACAGGGGAUUCCGAAAUCAUUCUGACUCUGUCUCACAAAAAUUCAAAUAUCUCAUAAAUUGAAAUUCUUUUGCUUACACCGUUUCCAAACAUGAAAAUAGACCCAAUAAGAUUUUAUUUCAUAUCUUAUUCAACUUAUAAUUUUAUUUCCACCAUUUUUGGUGAUUAUUCAAAGUCACACAAUUGCUGCUGUCCAAAACUGUUUCAUUACUAAAUUUCACUCUUCAUGUUUUCUUUGUAGUAACUUUCAUUAUAACACUUACUCCAUAUCAAUCUUACCAAAGUUUGAUCACAUAUCGAGCACGUUUCUCAUUAGUUUACACACACAAACCUUCACUUAUUCAUUACAUAGUCAUGUUCAUAUGUAUUUUCACUUAGUAAAUUUCCCGUUGAACUCAUCGGAAUAAUAACAGAUACCCGGUGGCCUAUACAUACUACCACCCUUGUAACCGAAGCUCUCUGGUACGCAUAGUAGCCUGCACUUAGUAUUACACAUACGACCUAACAAUCUGGUACACGUAGUAGCCUAAACUUAGUAUUACACACGUGAUCGAAGCUAUCGGGCACGCAUAGUAUCCUGCACUUAGUACUACACAUGCGACCUAACAAUCUGGUACACGUAGUAGCCUGCACUUAGUACUACACACGUGACCUAAAACCGUCUUAAACACAUAGUAGCCUACACAUAGUACUACACAUGUGCUCUCACAACGGAUCAUUCGUAUCUUUUCUAUUUCAAAGGUCCAACCGGGAAAUUCUUCACUUUUCAACAUUUUACUAAUUCAUUCUUAGUCAGUUUCGAUUUGUAAUUUACAUCAAAUGAUCAUUCUAUAAGCAGCUACAUCUCAUAUAAUAACAAAAGAUACUAACAUAAAAAAAAAGAAUCGAUAUAUUAUUUACAUACAAACUUACUCGUUUCAAAGAAAUAUCAUGUUUCAUCAAAUUUCCAUUAUAUUCAAUCAUCCAAUCACAUGUUAUCAACUUUUGAACUAUCGAUUACUUCAUGGGUACAUCACGUUCCCAUACACAAUAUCAUUAACAUAUAAAUCAAUGCAACCAUAGCAAAAUAGAUUUCAAGUGUAACAACAAUAACAUGAAUAUCAUGCUUAUUUAAUCACAUGAACUUACUUGUCGAAAUCUCUGCGGGUACAACCGUGUAGCAAUUCACACAACUCAUGUAAUAGUAAUUUAACAUUCAUCACAUUUUCCAUAUCAUAUUCAUCAUCCAUAAAUUCUUCUAAUAUAUUAAAUCAUACAUUUUAUGCCAUAAUAAUAGAUAAUUACAAUUCAAGCAUGAUAUUGCAUUAUUAUUACCAUAAAAACUUACCUCGGGACCAAAAUAGCAAAAAGGAACCUAACCGUCGAUUUUCCCUUUUUCACCCGAUUUAGGUCCCAUCCUCAUUUUCCUUGAUAAUCGAGCUUGAAAGCUUGAAAAACCGUAGCCAUGGUUCUCCAUGCAAGUUUCGGCGAAGAGGUUGAAGAUGGACAAAAUUGACUUUUAAUUUUGUUUUUAAUUCAUUUUAAUAACUAAAUGACCAAAAUACCCUUAAUGAAAAACUUUGGAAACAUGCCUAACCAUGUCCAUUUUUGUCCACCAACUUAACCGAUGGUCUAAUUACCAUAUAAGGACCUCCAAUUUAAAAUUUUAUAACAAUUGGACACCUCUAGCAUGUAGAACUCAACUUUUUCACUUUUUACGAUUUAGUCCUUUUGACUAAAUUGAGUGCCCAAACGUCAAAAUUUUCGAGCGAAAUUUUCACGAAAUCAUUCCGUGAAAUUUUAAACCAUAAAAAUAUAAUAAAAAUAAAUUUUCCUCAUCGGAUUUGUGAUCCCAAAACUACUGUUCCAACUAGGCCCAAAAUCGGAAUGUUAUAGGGCAUGUAUAUUUUUAAACUUUCACAAUUUUGGUUUGUAUAUUCAUAAUAAUACUAUGAGCACUUUAGGGGGUCAGCAAGAUAUGUUUUCAGAUACCACUAUAAAAUUACAAUCUGUCUUUACUAAAUGGAUACAAAACACCCAUAUUUUAGGACUCGGUGAAAUGGCUCCUAAUGCAAACGUGAGCACCAAUUUAACUUGGGGAGGCUAUGAUUUAGUGACAGUAAGUGGCAAAGUUGCUUUGUUGCCUAUUCUAUUAGGAACCGUAGAUUUUUUGGUCCAUCACAUUUAUGCAUUUACGAUUUAUAUGAUGGUAUUGAUACACCUGAAAAGUAUUGGUAUAUAUUAAAAUAUUGAUAACAAGAAAUACAUUUUUAGUGAAUAAUUAUCUAGGAUUUUUUUCUAUAUUUUUAUUUCUAAUAAAUAUUACUACUUCGAUUUUUGAAUCCUAACAAUUUUUUACUCUAGAAAAAAAAAUUAUACGAAUUCUAGCUUUUUAAUUACCAAAUUUGAGUUCUCCCUUUACUUAUGCCUAAUUAAGUGCGGAUAUUUUGAUUGCUAACAAUUUUUUUCAAAUUACUUUACAAAUAUUUCUUAAAUAUUAUUGUUGAAAUUUAAGGACAUAUCUUUUUAAAGUAUAUUUAAUUUAGCUAUUCUCGUGAAAUAAUCAUAAAUUACUAAUAAUGUUAAGCUAAUUACUUAGAUAUAAUAAACUUAAAUAUCCUUUAUAUAUAUAAUUAUUAUCAUUAUUUUAUAAAUAAUACAACUAAAAUAGAAAAAAAUAAUUAUAUAGUACUUUACAAUAAUGCAUAUAUGUUUUUCUAUAUUUAUUAAAUAUUUUGAAAAGAUAAAAAUGAUUAUAAUAUUUUUUUAAUUAUUCUUAUGCUUAAUUGAUUAAUAAAUAAUUAUACCAUAAAUGUUUCUACAAUUAAUCAUUUACCAAAUACGGCUAAAUUUGUCAUCUAUGCAAAAAAAAAUUAUUGGUUAAAUAGGUCAAUUUUUUAAAAAUUUAGAGAAAUAAGUUGUUUUUAGAGAGAGUAUGUGAAAGCACAUCCAACUAUACAUACUUUCUAUAUAGGUGGCAAGAAAGCACGCCCAGCUGAAUACAUUUUCCCUUUAAGUUGUAAUUUUUAAAUUUUUUAAUAUAUUUAAUUUCUUUGGUUAGAUAAUUAAAUAUUAGUGAUUUUAUCUUUAAGUCUCAAGUUCGAUUCCUAACUUCUCUAAUUAAAUAGUUAAAUAAUAAUAAUUUCAUUCUUAAGAUCAAGUUCAAUUCUCCUUUUUCUAAACACAUUUGUAAUUUUUAUUUGACGCUUCUAGUUUUUUUUUAUUUUUUAAUUAAUAAAUAUAUUAUUUUCAAUUUUUUUAUUUUAAUUCAUCUUUUUAAUUUUUUUAAUUAAUAACUCAUUUAUAUAUAAUAUAAACAUCAACUAAUUUUUUAUUUAUAUAUUUUUCUUCAUAUAUAAUAUUUACACGUCAAAUAUUUAUUUUCUCCAUUUAUAUUAUAUGUACAGUGAUUUCUAAAUAUAAUAUUAUAAAAUGAAAUAGUCAAAGCUUUCCAACAUUUACUUGUCGAUUAAUUUUGAUGCGGCUUAUAAUCAAAGUUUGGCGAAAUUUGGAUCGAGAAUGGUUGUUCGUAACUCUCAAGGUGAGAUUUUGGCUUCAAAAUAGACAUUGCACAAGGAGAUCGCAUUGCCGUUUGUAGCGGAAGGAUAUGCUUGCCUUCAGGCGUUGCUUUUGGGAACCUAUCUGGGCCUCUCAUCAAUUACCAUAGAAGGAGAUGCAAGAACCAUUAUUAAAAAAAGUCAGUCAGACAUUCUAGAUGAAUCGGUGAUAGGGGCGAUUAUUUGAGAAAUACAACAGCUGAAAAAGAGUUUUCAUAGUAUCAUGUUCAAACAAAUACCCAGAUUUGCUAAUAUCCUAGCACAUAGUUUAGCCACGGAUUGCUUAAAGAAUGGAAGAGAGAGUUACCUAAUUGGAAGUGUGUUGGUGGUCGUCGAUGAUGGAUUAUGGAGGAGGAGGAGGAGGAGGGAACCGGAUUGACAGAAGAGGAAGAGAUAGGCUUUGGGGAGAGGAAUGGGCAGUAAAUGGUUUUGAUUUUGGAAGGCUGCUGGUUUUGGAAACUAGUACCGACAAGUUUUGAGGGUUUGGAUAUUUUCUAAGGAGUGGGUGCCAGCUACUUUGCAGACUGGGGAAGUGUCUUUGUGCGUUUCGUUUUAUUUUUUUGUGUUUUUUAUGGGCUUCGUUAUCUUUUGGAAUAUGUUUUUCUGAUUUUCUUUGGAUUGGGUUUUUGUGGCUAGUGUUUGUUUUGUGAGUUGUCACUUUUGUGUUUUUUUUUCCAGUUAUUUUUGUCUUAUAAAAUCCAGUCAAUUUUCUUUAAGAAAAUUGAAUGUUCAAAUGUACCAAAUACUCACUUAAAAAAAAUUAAAGUUAUUUAUGUUUAAAAUUUUAAUAAAAAUAUUAAAUUAAAAAUAGUAUAUAAU
rnacentral:lncRNA from 1 species